GAUGAAGAACGUAGCGAAAUGCGAUAAGUUAUGCGAAUUGCAGAAUUCAGUGAGUCAUCGAAUCUUUGAACGCACAUUGCGCCCUGUGGUAUUCCGCAGGGCAUGCCUGUUCGAACGUCAUUUCAACCCUCAAGCCCCGCUUGGUGUUGGGCCCCGCCCGCUGUGGCCGGCCCUAAAGACAGUGGCGGCGCCGCCUGGCCCUCAGCGUAGUACAUCUCUCGCUCCAGGGUCCGGUGGCCGCCUGCCAGAACCCCCCAACUCUGUGGUUGACCUCGGAUCAGGUAGGGAUACCCGCUGAACUUAAGCAUAUCAAUAAGCGGAGGA
rnacentral:misc_RNA from 1 species